rnacentral:rRNA from 1 species
GUGGGGAAUAUUGGACAAUGGGCGAAAGCCUGAUCCAGCCAUGCCGCGUGUGUGAAGAAGGUCUUCGGAUUGUAAAGCACUUUAAGUUGGGAGGAAGGGCAGUAAGUUAAUACCUUGCUGUUUUGACGUUACCAACAGAAUAAGCACCGGCUAACUUCGUGCCAGCAGCCGCGGUAAUACGAAGGGUGCAAGCGUUAAUCGGAAUUACUGGGCGUAAAGCGCGCGUAGGUGGUUCAGCAAGUUGGAGGUGAAAUCCCCGGGCUCAACCUGGGAACUGCCUCCAAAACUGCAUGACUAGAGUACGGUAGAGGGUAGUGGAAUUUCCUGUGUAGCGGUGAAAUGCGUAGAUAUAGGAAGGAACACCAGUGGCGAAGGCGACUACCUGGACUGAUACUGACACUGAGGUGCGAAAGCGUGGGGAGCAAACAGGAUUAGAUACCCCGGUAGUCC